rnacentral:lncRNA from 1 species
UCACCUGGCGCUGGUGAUUUAGGACUGGGGGCUGUAGCCACAGCCCGUCCCUAGCAGCAGCGGCGUCGGAGUGAACGCGUACACGUGACUCCGGCUUUGGCUCCUCAGUGCCUCUACAAACAGAGGCGCGCACACACAUUCCUUCUCUUCUCCAUCCAGUCUCUUCCCCUCCUUCCCUGUCACACACACGCCGUGCGAGCCGCCGCCAGGGCAAAGCUCUAGGCACACGCCGGGGUGGCAGCGCCAGGAGCAGCAGCGGUUCAACCAAGAAGCAAGAGUUUGCAAAGGCUGCUGUGCCCGGCUGAAGAGGCUUUGCACCCGGAGGAUGGCUGGCUGCGGGCUGUCAGAAGAUGCCUUCUUCUCUUCCUUCUUCUACAACUACACCUCCUCCUGGGAGAGCUCCUACAACCAGCUCCCAUUGAUCAAAUCCAUGUCCCAAAUUGCCGAGUCUGGAAAGGGAUCAACUAGACAAGACCAUUGCUGCUGGUUCAUUGACUUGUACAGAUUUGUGUAUGCAGAUCUGGCUGUGGCCUGUUCUUCUGGCUGGAGUUUAACCCUUGCCUGAGCUCAUGUGUUGCUGUAGUCUCCCAUGUGCCUCUUCAUGCUUGCACAAUCCAGGAUGGGUUUCCUAGUAAUUUUCUUUACCAGUUUAAACAUAAACCAGAAAAAUAGCUGACAUUUUAUCAGAAAUAGGCCAUCAUUGGCUGAAAUGGCAAGAUCUAAGCAAGUUAUCCAUUAUAUAAUAUACUGGAUCAAAAGGAAAUACAACAUAUUAUAUUUUUCCUAUUUUGUUUGUGAUUAUUGCAGUAAUAAAUUGCAAUUAGUCUUACA